UAGUGCUCUUGAUUUUCAACAAAUGUAAUCGUGAAGCUCUGAAACAGACCUCAUAAUAAAAGGGUAAAAAUGAAGGCAUCACCAUAGCCAUAGCAGGCAAAAUAUAUAUGCUUGAUACUAAGAAUAACUUUACAGGGACACUCAAUAACAGCUGUUGACACGAAUCAGUUCAACAGACAUAAGUUUCCUUAGUAAGAAUGAUACAGGAUGGCCAAACAUCAAGAUCACAGUCCAUAUAAUAUCGUUGAGUGGCAGACAAGACUUACCAUUUCUCAGCUAUAAUAGUUCAAUUGUGCAACUCGUCGUUGAAAGGAUACAACUGCAACUUAUCAGUCCUCAGAUAGAGAGUAAGAUGUCUCAAAGAUUGUGGAACUGAUUCAUUUGGAAAGCCUACAUUGAAUGUCCCUGUAAACCUUUUUAUAGUAACAAGCUUAACUCUUCAAACUAUUCUAGUUACUUUGACUAUGAAGAGGCCUUCACCAUCACGCAUAAAAAACAUGACCUGUUUCAGAACUUCCCAACAUAUUCGUUGAGAAUCCGGAGAAAGACGCAACCUUUCAUGUGUGCUUGCAUAUCAUCUAUGGCAGCUAGUAUUCAAUUUUUCAGAAGUGUUGUAUUAAUCAUUCCUUCCAUGACAACUCAUAUUUACUGUACAAUUUACCAAUAUCAUCAAUUUCAAAUAUUAAAACAAUAUCUGUUCCAGAGUGUGAGCCGUCACUGUUUUCUAUCAAUUUGGCGAGCCCCAUUCCAUGGAUAACAGAUUCUU
rnacentral:lncRNA from 1 species